rnacentral:rRNA from 1 species
AGUGAACGCUGGCGGUAGGCCUAACACAUGCAAGUCGAACGGCAGCACAGGAGAGCUUGCUCUCUGGGUGGCGAGUGGCGGACGGGUGAGGAAUACAUCGGAAUCUACCUUUUCGUGGGGGAUAACGUAGGGAAACUUACGCUAAUACCGCAUACGACCUACGGGUGAAAGUGGGGGACCGCAAGGCCUCACGCGAUUAGAUGAGCCGAUGUCCGAUUAGCUAGUUGGCGGGGUAAUGGCCCACCAAGGCGGCGAUCGGUAGCUGGUCUGAGAGGAUGAUCAGCCACACUGGAACUGAGACACGGUCCAGACUCCUACGGGAGGCAGCAGUGGGGAAUAUUGGACAAUGGGCGCAAGCCUGAUCCAGCCAUACCGCGUGGGUGAAGAAGGCCUUCGGGUUGUAAAGCCCUUUUGUUGGGAAAGAAAUCCUAUCGGUUAAUAACCGGUGGGGAUGACGGUACCCAAAGAAUAAGCACCGGCUAACUUCGUGCCAGCCGCCGCAGUAA